AUUGAACGCUGGCGGCAGGCCUAACACAUGCAAGUCGAGCGGUUGAGGGGAGCUUGCUCCCUGAUUCAGCGGCGGACGGGUGAGUAAUGCCUAGGAAUCUGCCUAUUAGUGGGGGACAACGUUUCGAAAGGAACGCUAAUACCGCAUACGUCCUACGGGAGAAAGCAGGGGACCUUCGGGCCUUGCGCUAAUAGAUGAGCCUAGGUCGGAUUAGCUAGUUGGUGAGGUAAUGGCUCACCAAGGCGGCGAUCCGUAACUGGUCUGAGAGGAUGAUCGGUCACACUGGAACUGGGACACGGUCCAGACUCCUACGGGAGGCAGCAGUGGGGAAUAUUGGACAAUGGGCGAAAGCCUGAUCCAGCCAUGCCGCGUGUGUGAAGAAGGUCUUCGGAUUGUAAAGCACUUUAAGUUGGGAGGAAGGGUUGUAGAUUAAUGCUCUGCAAUUUUGACGUUACCGACAGAAUAAGCACCGGCUAACUCUGUGCCAGCCGCCGCCGUAAAAC
rnacentral:rRNA from 1 species